rnacentral:rRNA from 1 species
AGAGUUUGAUCAUGGCUCAGAUUGAACGCUGGCGGCAGGCCUAACACAUGCAAGUCGAGCGGUAGAGAGAAGCUUGCUUCUCUUGAGAGCGGCGGACGGGUGAGUAAUGCCUAGGAAUCUGCCUGGUAGUGGGGGAUAACGUCCGGAAACGGACGCUAAUACCGCAUACGUCCUACGGGAGAAAGCAGGGGACCUUCGGGCCUUGCGCUAUCAGAUGAGCCUAGGUCGGAUUAGCUAGUUGGUGGGGUAAUGGCUCACCAAGGCGACGAUCCGUAACUGGUCUGAGAGGAUGAUCAGUCACACUGGAACUGAGACACGGUCCAGACUCCUACGGGAGGCAGCAGUGGGGAAUAUUGGACAAUGGGCGAAAGCCUGAUCCAGCCAUGCCGCGUGUGUGAAGAAGGUCUUCGGAUUGUAAAGCACUUUAAGUUGGGAGGAAGGGCAGUAAAUUAAUACUUUGCUGUUUUGACGUUACCGACAGAAUAAGCACCGGCUAACUCUGUGCCAGCAGCCGCGGUAAUACAGAGGGUGCAAGCGUUAAUCGGAAUUACUGGGCGUAAAGCGCGCGUAGGUGGUUCGUUAAGUUGGAUGUGAAAUCCCCGGGCUCAACCUGGGAACUGCAUUCAAAACUGACGAGCUAGAGUAUGGUAGAGGGUGGUGGAACUUCCUGUGUAGUGGUGAAAUGCGUAGAUAUAGGAAGGAACACCAGUGGCGAAGGCGACCACCUGGACUGAUACUGACACUGAGGUGCGAAAGCGUGGGGAGCAAACAGGAUUAGAUACCCCGGUAGU